AGAUAGUCAGAGGGGGUAGAAUCCACGUGUAGCAGUGAAUGCGUAGAGAUGUGAGGAAUACCAAUGGCGAAGGCAGCCCCCUGGGAUAAUAUGNACGCUCAUGCACGAAAGCGUGGGGAGCAAACAGGAUUAGAUACCCUGGUAGUCCACGCCCUAAACGAUGUCUACUAGUUGUUGGUGGAGUAAAAUCCAUGAGUAACGCAGCUAACGCGUGAAGUAGACCGCCUGGGGAGUACGGUCGCAAGAUUAAAACUCAAAUGAAUUGACGGGGGCCCGCACAAGCGGUGGAUUAUGUGGAUUAAUUCGAUGCAACGCGAAAAACCUUACCUGGCCUUGACAUGUACCGAAUUUACCAGAGAUGGUUUAGUGCUCGAAAGAGAACGGUAACACAGGUGCUGCAUGGCUGUCGUCAGCUCGCGUCGUGAGAUGUUGGGUUAAGUCCCGCAACGAGCGCAACCCUUGCCAUUAAUUGCCAUCAUUUAGUUGGGCACUUUAAUGGGACUGCCGGUGACAAACCGGAGGAAGGUGGGGAUGACGUCAAGUCCUCAUGGCCCUUAUGGCCAGGGCUUCACACGUAAUACAAUGGUCGGUACAGAGGGUUGCCAAGCCGCGAGGUGGAGCCAAUCCCAGAAAGCCGAUCGUAGUCCGGAUUGUAGUCUGCAACUCGACUACAUGAAGUCGGAAUCGCUAGUAAUCGCGGAUCAGCAUGUCGCGGUGAAUACGUUCCCGGGCCUUGUACACACCGCCC
rnacentral:rRNA from 1 species